GACAUCCAGAGAAUUUAGCAGAGAUGCUUUAGUGCCUUCGGGGAACUCUGAGACAGGUGCUGCAUGGCUGUCGUCAGCUCGUGUUGUGAAAUGUUGGGUUAAGUCCCGNAACGAGCGCAACCCUUAUCCUUUGUUGCCAGCACGUAAUGGUGGGAACUCAAAGGAGACUGCCGGUGAUAAACCGGAGGAAGGUGGGGAUGACGUCAAGUCAUCAUGGCCCUUACGAGUAGGGCUACACACGUGCUACAAUGGCGCAUACAAAGAGAAGCGACCUCGCGAGAGCAAGCGGACCUCAUAAAGUGCGUCGUAGUCCGGAUUGGAGUCUGCAACUCGACUCCAUGAAGUCGGAAUCGCUAGUAAUCGUAAAUCAGAAUGUUACGGUGAAUACGUUCCCGGGCCUUGUACACACCGCCCGUCACACCAUGGGAGUGGGUUGCAAAAGAAGUAGAUAGCUUAACCUUCGGGAGGGCGUUUACCACUUUGUGAUUCAUGACUGGGGUGAAGUCGUAACAAGGUAAGCGUAGUGCU
rnacentral:rRNA from 1 species